UGAUGCAGCAAGAAGGCCCUUGCCAGAUGCCAGCACCUUGAUAUUGAACUUCUCAUCCUCCAGAACAGUUUGUUUUUCCUCUCUGUUAUACCUCAAGAGGAACACAAAGAAUGAUGGCCUGUCACUCUGAUGCCUCUCUCUACUCAAAUGGCAGAAACCAACCAGGUUCUGCCAAUAGAAAAUACUAGAGAAAUAAAGCCAGGAGAAGAAAAGAGACUACUUCCUUUAAGGUCUAAGCUGUUCCAAUAGCAUUAUUCUGCGAAUGGCAUCUCCCACUCCUUCUAGCACAAAGAACCAGCUUCCUCAUACCCCGUCAAGGAACUGCAGCAUCCAGGUGAUGGCCACAGUGGCAGAACCUAGGAAGCCAAGAAGAAACCAGAGAAUGGAGACAUAUGGCAGCAAUGGCAAGUCAUCAGACCCAGGAUUUCCCAAAGAACACUGGUCCAGGACGAUGCUCUGUGAAAAAGUGUUCCUUGGUCAGAGAAACUUGUGAAACACUUUGCAUAAUACUUAAAAUAAUGUAUGGCACAUCAAAGGUAAUAUGCGAUAAAAGAAUUCAUUUUUUUAAAACCAAG